rfam:Picea glauca, whole genome shotgun sequence.
GGGUGGGAUCAAACCAGCGUUAAUGCAUCGGAUCCCAUCAGAACUCCGCAGUUAAGCGCGCUUGGGCUAGAGUAGUACUGGGAUGGGUGACCUGCCGGGAAGUCCUUGUGUUGCACCCU